AGUGAACGCUGGCGGCAGGCCUAACACAUGCAAGUCGAACGACAGCACAGUAAGAGCUUGCUCUUACGGGUGGCGAGUGGCGGAUGGGUGAGGAAUACAUCGGAAUCUACUUUUUCGUGGGGGAUAACGUAGGGAAACUUACGCUAGUACCGCAUACGACCUACGGGUGAAAUCAGGGGAUCUUCGGACCUUGCGCGAUUGAAUGAGCCGAUGUCGGAUUAGCUAGUUGGCGGGGUAAAGGCCCACCAAGGCGACGAUCCGUAGCUGAUCUGAGAGGAUGAUCAGCCACACUGGAACUGAGACACGGUCCAGACUCCUACGGGAGGCAGCAGUGGGGAAUAUUGGACAAUGGGCGCAAGCCUGAUCCAGCCAUACCGCGUGAGUGAAGAAGGCCUUCGGGUUGUAAAGCCCUUUUGUUAGGGAAGAAAAGCAGCAGGUUAAUACCCCGCUGUUCUGACGGUACCCAAAGAAUAAGCACCGGCUAACUUCGUG
rnacentral:rRNA from 1 species